GACGAACGCUGGCGGCGUGCUUAACACAUGCAAGUCGAACGGUGAACCAGAGCUUGCUCUGGGGAUCAGUGGCGAACGGGUGAGUAACACGUGGGCAACCUGCCCCAGACUCUGGGAUAACCUCGGGAAACCGAUGCUAAUACCGGAUACGACCACUUCGGACAUCCGACGGUGGUGGAAAGUUUUUCGGUCUGGGAUGGGCCCGCGGCCUAUCAGCUAGUUGGUGGGGUAAUGGCCUACCAAGGCGACGACGGGUAGCCGGCCUGAGAGGGCGACCGGCCACACUGGAACUGAGACACGGUCCAG
rnacentral:rRNA from 1 species